rnacentral:rRNA from 1 species
AGCAGUAGCCACGGUAAUAAAGAGGGUGCGAGCGUUAAUCGGAUUUACUGGGCGUAAAGCGUGCGUAGGCGGCUUCUUAAGUCGGAUGUGAAAUCCCUGAGCUUAACUUAGGAAUUGCAUUCGAUACUGGGAAGCUAGAGUAUGGGAGAGGAUGGUAGAAUUCCAGGUGUAGCGGUGAAAUGCGUAGAGAUCUGGAGGAAUACCGAUGGCGAAGGCAGCCAUCUGGCCUAAUACUGACGCUGAGGUACGAAAGCAUGGGGAGCAAACAGGAUUAGAUACCCCAGUAGUCCCUGUCUCUUAUAC